rnacentral:rRNA from 1 species
AUUGAACGCUGGCGGCAGGCCUAACACAUGCAAGUCGAACGGUAGCACAAAGGAGCUUGCUCCUUGGGUGACGAGUGGCGGACGGGUGAGUAAUGUCUGGGAAACUGCCCGAUGGAGGGGGAUAACUACUGGAAACGGUAGCUAAUACCGCAUAACGUCGCAAGACCAAAGAGGGGGACCUUCGGGCCUCUUGCCAUCGGAUGUGCCCAGAUGGGAUUAGCUAGUAGGUGGGGUAACGGCUCACCUAGGCGACGAUCCCUAGCUGGUCUGAGAGGAUAACCAGCCACCCUGGACCUGAGACACGGUCCAGACUCCUACGGGAGGCAGAAGUGGGGAAUAUUGCACAAUGGGCGCAAGCCUGAUGCAGCCAUGCCGCGUGUAUGAAGAAGGCCUUCGGGUUGUAAAGUACUUUCAGCGAGGAGGAAGGCGUUGUGGUUAAUAACCGCAACGAUUGACGUUACUCGCAGAAGAAGCACCGGCUAACUACGUGCCAGCAGCCGCCGUAACAC